AGGUGGAACCCUGGGCCCCACGUGGCCCCACUUGUAAGUGACACAAAGUCAAAGUCACUGAAGCUCUAUCCCCUGCGAAGCUUCUCGAUCCCCCUAGACUGCCGUUUCUGUCCUCGUCCUCUCCCUGCCCGCGGCCGCGGAGUCCUUGCGCAGAUCAGUCGAACCCUAGUUCUUCCGAAACGAUGAGCCGACGGAACGGCUGCACCAUCUACGUGGGCAAUCUCCCCGAAGACAUCCGCGAGAGGGAAAUCGAGGAUCUCUUCUACAAGUAUGGCCCUAUCGUGGAUAUCGACUUGAAAAUUCCUCCAAGGCCUCCUGUCUUUGCUUUUGUUGAGUUUGAAGACCCACGUGAUGCUGACGAUGCGAUUUAUGGCCGUGAUGGAUAUGACUUUGAUGGCCAGAGGUUGCGGGUGGAGUUAGCUCACGGUGGAAGAGGCGCUUCUUUUGAUCGAUCAAGCAGCUAUAGCAGUUCUGGACGCCGUGGUGCAGCUAGACGUUCUGAUUACCGUGUUAUGGUUACUGGAUUACCUUCUUCAGCAUCAUGGCAAGAUCUCAAGGAUCAUAUGCGGCGAGCUGGUGAUGUCUGUUUCUCUGAUGUUUAUCGUGAGGCUGGAGCAAUUACUGGAAUAGUUGAAUAUACCAAUUAUGAAGAUAUGAAACAUGCGAUAAGGAAGCUUGAUGAUUCAGAGUUCCGUAAUGCGUUCUCACGAUCGUAUAUCAGGGUGAGGGAGUACAAUACUAAGCGUAGCCGCUCUUACUCGAGAAGCAGAAGCCCCAGCUGCUCUUACUCGAGAAGCAGAAGUCGCAGUUAUAGCAGGAGUCCUAGAGCUGCUUCUCGGUCUCCGACACCUGUUAAAGCAAGGUAUGGCCAGUUUCAUUCCGGUAGGGAUUGAAGUUUGACAACGCUAGCUAUCUGCAUCUUUGGUACCGAGAAAGCACACUAAAGAAAUGAUGCUGUCAGGUUCUUACUGUUUGUUCAGUAAGUAUUUUGAAUGAUGUGAUGAGCUUGUGUGGUCCCACUAAGGAACUGCAACGAAAAGAGCUGUUAACAAGAAGUAAAAAAUGACCCGCAAAAUAAAAAGAAAAAAGGAAAAUGGCCUUUACCUUUUAACUUCUAGAAUUCUGUUUUGGUUUGCUCCGUGUCUUACGUUUGCUGUACAUUGUUUUUCCCGACACGGCCUUUUGAGAUGGCAACUGGACUACAACCAGCGCUAGGAGGGCUGGCACUAAGCAUGUAUGCUAUGGAUUUUGUGGUAUAUUGGUCAUCAUCAAGAUCCUUAUCACCAGCUGCUCCCCCUCACGACAAGUCUGCGAGCAGGAGCCCCACCAGGAGCAGAAGUUUAUCCCCAUCUAAGUCUCCUGCAUGCAGUGUGAGAUCUGACUGAAGGCAAAUGCAUCUGAAGCGUCAAAAAUCAUAUCACUGGAACUAAGAGAAUGUAAUAUCGAUUAUGAAUCCUCUGUUCUAAGAAAUAGCAUACCUAUUCCUUAUAUUAAGAAAAAGAGUUGUCAGCCUUGUGGUUCCAGAUCAAUAUGGUUCUUCGCUACUAUGUUUUACUCCUGCACUUAGCAGUUGCCAGUAUACAAAGUUGUUAACUCGUGGCUUUAAACUUUAUGCUAUUGUAUCUUGUCACAAAAACUUUAUGUUACAGUAGAGUUUAUAUAUGCUUUUAAUAAUCUACUUCGACUUU